rnacentral:misc_RNA from 1 species
CCGGAGAAGUUAGCUUCUUCCGACUGAGACAGCAAAAAAGUCUCAUUUGCUAUCCGUAAGACUGAAAGCCCAAUAGCAUGCAAUGACAAACGUCAUCAUCUGCACCUUCCCCGAAGAUGUUAGCGUCUUCCAGCCGAGACUGCGAAAAGGUCUCAUUUGCUAACCGUAAGACUCAAAGCCUGUUAGCAUGCAGUGACUAACGACGCCAUCUGCACCAUCCCCGGAGAUGUCAGCAUCUUUCAACCGAGACUUCGAAAAAGUCUUAUUUGCUAUCCGUAAGACUCAAAGCUUAAUAGCAUGCAGUGACUAACGUCAUCAUCUUCACCUUCC